rnacentral:rRNA from 1 species
GAUGAACGCUGGCGGCGUGCUUAACACAUGCAAGUCGAACGGAAAGGCCCAAGCUUGCUUGGGUACUCGAGUGGCGAACGGGUGAGUAACAUGUGGGUGAUCUGCCCUGCACUUCGGGAUAAGCCUGGGAAACUGGGUCUAAUACCGGAUAGGACCACUUCUUGGAUGUUGUGGUGGAAAGUUUUUUCGGUGUGGGAUGAGCUGGCGGCCUAUCAGCUUGUUGGUGGGGUAAUGGCCUACCGAGGCGUCGACGGGUAGCCGGCCUGAGAGGGUGUACGGCCACACUGAGACUGAGAUACGGCCCAGACGCCUACGGGAGGCAGCAGUGGGGAAUAUUGAACAAGGGGCGCAAGCCUGGUGCAGCGACGCCGCGUGGGGGAAGACGGCCUUAGGGUUGAAAACUCCUUUCACGGGGGACGAGGCGUUUUGUGACGGUACCUGGAGAAGAAGCACCGGCUAACUACGUG